rnacentral:lncRNA from 1 species
UGAACCAAGGACAAGUGUAGCCCAGCUAUCUAUUAACAUAUAUGAUUUCUCAAUAAUCUUACUGAUGUGGCACAACUAUAUUACUUUAGAAUUUUUUUUUUUUUUUUUAAACUCAGUCCAUAUUUCCUUGUCUUAACUCCCACCCUCUCUAUCUUCUCCUUGCAACGUAUACCUUACCUUCCUCUUCUCUGAAUUAAGAACAAACUUCCACCCCUCCAUCUCUUUCUUGCAAUAAAUCUAAUAAUUUCACAAACUUCUAUUAAUUAAUUAAUAUAUAUGAUUUCUUCCCCUUGGCUUAACUCCCACCCCUCUAUCUUCUCUUUGCAACGUGUACCUUACCUUCCCCCUCUCUUAACAUAUCAACAUAACCAGGGUUAGCAACUUCUAUU